rnacentral:misc_RNA from 1 species
GAGAAGAACGCAGUGAAAUGCGAUAACUAAUGUGAAUUGCAGAAUUCAGUGAAUCAUCGAGUCUUUGAACGCACAUUGCGCCCCCUGGUAUUCCGGGGGGCAUGCCUGUCCGAGCGUCAUUGCUGCCCUCAAGCACGGCUUGUGUGUUGGGCUCCGUCCCCCCGGGGACGGGCCCGAAAGGCAGCGGCGGCACCGAGUCCGGUCCUCGAGCGUAUGGGGCUUUGUCACCCGCUCUGUAGGCCCGGCCGGCGCCAGCCGACAACCCAUCAUCCUUUUCAGGUUGACCUCGGAUCAGGUAGGGAUACCCGCUGAACUUAAGCAUAUCAAUAAGCGGAGGA